rnacentral:rRNA from 2 species
GUUAUAUGGUCAAGUGAAGAAGCGCAUACGGUGGAUGCCUUGGCAGUCAGAGGCGAUGAAAGACGUGGUAGCCUGCGAAAAGCUUCGGGGAGUCGGCAAACAGACUGUGAUCCGGAGAUGUCUGAAUGGGGGAACCCAGCCAUCAUAAGAUGGUUAUCUUACACUGAAUACAUAGGUGUAAGAGGCGAACCAGGGGAACUGAAACAUCUAAGUACCCUGAGGAAAAGAAAUCAACCGAGAUUCCCUUAGUAGUGGCGAGCGAACGGGGACCAGCCCUUAAGUUGUAUUGAGAUUAGCGGAACGUUCUGGAAAGGACGGCCAUAGUGGGUGAUAGCCCUGUACGCGAAAAUCCCUUUGCAAUGAAAUCGAGUAGGACGGGGCACGAGAAACCUUGUCUGAAUAUGGGGGGACCAUCCUCCAAGGCUAAAUACUACUGACUGACCGAUAGUGAACCAGUACCGUGAGGGAAAGGCGAAAAGAACCGCGGAGAGCGGAGUGAAAUAGAUCCUGAAACCGUAUGCGUACAAGCAGUGGGAGCCCACUUUGUUGGGUGACUGCGUACCUUUUGUAUAAUGGGUCAGCGACUUAUUUUCAGUGGCGAGCUUAACCGAAUAGGGGAGGCGUAGCGAAAGCGAGUCUUAAUAGGGCGUCUAGUCGCUGGGAAUAGACCCGAAACCGGGCGAUCUAUCCAUGGGCAGGUUGAAGGUUGGGUAACACUAACUGGAGGACCGAACCGACUACCGUUGAAAAGUUAGCGGAUGACCUGUGGAUCGGAGUGAAAGGCUAAUCAAGCUCGGAGAUAGCUGGUUCUCCUCGAAAGCUAUUUAGGUAGCGCCUCAUGUAUCACUGUAGGGGGUAGAGCACUGUUUCGGCUAGGGGGUCAUCCCGACUUACCAAACCGAUGCAAACUCCGAAUACCUACAAGUGCCGAGCAUGGGAGACACACGGCGGGUGCUAACGUCCGUCGUGAAAAGGGAAACAACCCAGACCGUCAGCUAAGGUCCCAAAGUCAUGGUUAAGUGGGAAACGAUGUGGGAAGGCUUAGACAGCUAGGAGGUUGGCUUAGAAGCAGCCACCCUUUAAAGAAAGCGUAAUAGCUCACUAGUCGAGUCGGCCUGCGCGGAAGAUGUAACGGGGCUCAAACCAUGCACCGAAGCUACGGGUAUCACCUUUGGUGAUGCGGUAGAGGAGCGUUCUGUAAGCCUGUGAAGGUGAGUUGAGAAGCUUGCUGGAGGUAUCAGAAGUGCGAAUGCUGACAUGAGUAACGACAAUGGGUGUGAAAAACACCCACGCCGAAAGACCAAGGUUUCCUGCGCAACGUUAAUCGACGCAGGGUUAGUCGGUCCCUAAGGCGAGGCUGAAAAGCGUAGUCGAUGGAAAACAGGUUAAUAUUCCUGUACUUCUGGUUAUUGCGAUGGAGGGACGGAGAAGGCUAGGCCAGCCUGGCGUUGGUUGUCCAGGUUUAAGGUGGUAGGCUGAGAUCUUAGGUAAAUCCGGGAUCUUAAGGCCGAGAGCUGAUGACGAGUGUUCUUUAGAACACGACGUGGUUGAUGCCAUGCUUCCAAGAAAAGCUUCUAAGCUUCAGGUAACCAGGAACCGUACCCCAAACCGACACAGGUGGUUGGGUAGAGAAUACCAAGGCGCUUGAGAGAACUCGGGUGAAGGAACUAGGCAAAAUGGCACCGUAACUUCGGGAGAAGGUGCGCCGGUGAGGGUGAAGCAUUUACUGCGUAAGCCCACGCCGGUCGAAGAUACCAGGCCGCUGCGACUGUUUAUUAAAAACACAGCACUCUGCAAACACGAAAGUGGACGUAUAGGGUGUGACGCCUGCCCGGUGCCGGAAGGUUAAUUGAUGGGGUUAGCGCAAGCGAAGCUCUUGAUCGAAGCCCCGGUAAACGGCGGCCGUAACUAUAACGGUCCUAAGGUAGCGAAAUUCCUUGUCGGGUAAGUUCCGACCUGCACGAAUGGCGUAACGAUGGCGGCGCUGUCUCCACCCGAGACUCAGUGAAAUUGAAAUCGCUGUGAAGAUGCAGUGUAUCCGCGGCUAGACGGAAAGACCCCGUGAACCUUUACUAUAGCUUUGCACUGGACUUUGAAUUUGCUUGUGUAGGAUAGGUGGGAGGCUUUGAAGCGUGGACGCCAGUCUGCGUGGAGCCAACCUUGAAAUACCACCCUGGCAACUUUGAGGUUCUAACUCAGUUCCGUUAUCCGGAUCGAGGACAGUGUAUGGUGGGUAGUUUGACUGGGGCGGUCUCCUCCUAAAGAGUAACGGAGGAGUACGAAGGUGCGCUCAGACCGGUCGGAAAUCGGUCGUAGAGUAUAAAGGCAAAAGCGCGCUUGACUGCGAGACAGACACGUCGAGCAGGUACGAAAGUAGGUCUUAGUGAUCCGGUGGUUCUGUAUGGAAGGGCCAUCGCUCAACGGAUAAAAGGUACUCCGGGGAUAACAGGCUGAUACCGCCCAAGAGUUCAUAUCGACGGCGGUGUUUGGCACCUCGAUGUCGGCUCAUCACAUCCUGGGGCUGAAGCCGGUCCCAAGGGUAUGGCUGUUCGCCAUUUAAAGUGGUACGCGAGCUGGGUUUAGAACGUCGUGAGACAGUUCGGUCCCUAUCUGCCGUGGACGUUUGAGAUUUGAGAGGGGCUGCUCCUAGUACGAGAGGACCGGAGUGGACGAACCUCUGGUGUUCCGGUUGUCACGCCAGUGGCAUUGCCGGGUAGCUAUGUUCGGAAAAGAUAACCGCUGAAAGCAUCUAAGCGGGAAACUUGCCUCAAGAUGAGAUCUCACUGGAACCUUGAGUUCCCUGAAGGGCCGUCGAAGACUACGACGUUGAUAGGUUGGGUGUGUAAGCGCUGUGAGGCGUUGAGCUAACCAAUACUAAUUGCCCGUGAGGCUUGACCAUAUAACACCCAAGCAAUU